UUCUUUGUUAAUUUUCCACGUAAAUUUAGUUCCAAACUUACAUCAUGAUUCUUGUUGUUGGAAAGAGUGUGAAGGGUAUCAAUGUUACACUGUGGUCUCCAAUAAAUGAAUUAUGAAAGAUUAAUUACCGUUUUAUCUUACAGCCCUAUGAUCAGUAAUUUCAUUACACCACUAAGUUAUCAUACACCAUACUGAGGAGUGAGGGGUGAUAGCUAGAAUGUGCAACUCUGGAUGUUUAACUAGGAACUACUAUGAACACAUUUUUUCCUGCUGUAAAG
rnacentral:lncRNA from 1 species